AACGAACGCUGGCGGCGUGCCUAACACAUGCAAGUCGAACGCGAAAAGCAGUAAUGCUGAGUAGAGUGGCGCACGGGUGAGUAACACGUAACUGACAUGUCUUGGAGAGAGGGAUAACCACUCGAAAGGGUGGCUAAUACCUCAUAAGCCCACGUCCUUGGGGAUGCGGGAAAAGGGUCGGGACCUUUCGAGGCCGAUCGCUUCUUGAGUGGGUUGCGGCCCAUCAGCUAGUUGGCGAGGUAACGGCUCACCAAGGCUAAGACGGGUAGCUGGUCUGAGAGGAUGAUCAGCCACACUGGAACUGAGACACGGUCCAGACUCCUACGGGAGGCAGCAGUGGGGAAUCUUGCGCAAUGGGAGAAAUCCUGACGCAGCAACGCCGCGUGGGUGAUGAAGGUCUUCGGAUCGUAAAGCCCUGUCGGAGGGGAAGAUGCUUGGUGUCGCUAAUAUCGGCAUCAGGUGACGGUACCCUCAAAGGAAGCACCGGCUAACUCUGUGCCAGCAGCCGCAGUAAAC
rnacentral:rRNA from 1 species